rnacentral:rRNA from 1 species
GACUAUAGCCACAACACCCUGAGGAAGCCCAAUCCCGUCUGAUCUCGGAAGCUAAGCAGGGUUGGGCCUGGUUGGUACUUGGAUGGGAGACCACCUAGGAAGACCAGGUGCUGUAGGAG